UGCCGCUUGCGAGGGCGUAUGGUGGAUGCCUUGGCAGACAGUACCGAUGAAGGACGUUUGAGGAUGCGAUAAUCCUAGGGGAGCCUCCAACAUGGCUUUGAUCCUAGGGUCUCCGAAUGGGGGAACCCGCCGGCCGUCAUGGGCCGGCACCGCCUAUGGGCGGGGGGUACGCAGGGAAGUGAAACAUCUCAGUACCUGCAGGAAGGGAUACUCCGUGAGUAGUGGCGAGCGAAAGCGGAUCAGACCAAACCGGUUGCGCGUGAUACCCGUCGGGGGUUGCGUUGCCGGUGUCGUGGGAUCACGUGUCCCGGUUCCGACGGGCCGGGCGGGAGUCAUAAAACGGCUUGCCAGGGGAACAGGCUUGAAGGCCUGGCCGUAGAGGGUGCCAGCCCCGUACCUGGACGUGAGCCGUCUUCCGAUCGUGUUGUCCCAAGUAGCGCGGGCCUCGUGGAAUCCCGCGUGAAUCAGCCCAGACCGUUGGGUAAGUCUAAGCAUACCUGUCUGACCGAUAGCGUACCAGUACCGUGAGGGAAAGGUGAAAAGCACCCCGGGAGGGGAGUGAAACAGUUCCUGAAACCGUGCGCCCACAAACCGUCGGAGCCUCUGUGUGGGGUGACGGCGUGCCUAUCGAAAAAUGAGUCUGCGAGUCAGUGGCAUGUGGCGAGCAUAACCCGUGUGGGGUAUGCGUAGCGAAGGCGAGUCUUAAAAGGCGUUUGAGUCGCGUGUCCUGGACCCGAAGCGGGAUGAUCUAGCCCUGAGCAGGUUGAAGCGCGGGUAAGACCGCGUGGAGGACCGAACCCACCUGGGUUGAAAACCGGGGGGAUGACUUGGGGCUAGGGGUGAAAGGCCAAUCAAAUUCCGUGAUAGCUGGUUCUCUCCGAAAUGCAUUUAGGUGCAGCGUCGGUCGAUUGCGUCGCGGGGGUAGAGCUACCGGAUGCUUGCGGGCCCUUGUUGGGUACCAACAGCAGCCGAACUCCGAAUACCGUUGACGUGUAUUCCGGCAGUGAGUCGGCGGGGGAUAAGCUCCGUCGUCGAGAGGGAGACAGCCCAGACCGUCGUCUAAGGUCCCGAAGCGUGUGCUAAGUGGGAAAGGAUGUGGAGUCGCAUAGACAGCCAGGAGGUUGGCUCAGAAGCAGCCAUCCUUGAAAGAGUGCGUAACAGCUCACUGGUCUAGUGGUUCCGCGCCGACAAUGUAGCGGGGCUCAAGCACACCACCGAAGACGCGGCAGCAAUCUUCAUGGUUGCUGGGUAGGAGAGCGUCCUGCGAGGGGCGAAGCGGCCGGGUAACCGUGCCGUGGACUUCGUGGGAGUGAGAAUGCAGACAUGAGUAGCGAGAGACGGGUGAGGAUCCCGUCCGCUGGAUGACCAAGGGUUCCGGGGCCACGUUCGUCGUCCCCGGGUGAGUCGGGUCCUAAGGCGAGGCCGACAGGCGUAGUCGAAUGGAUGAACGGGUGGAUAUUCCCGUACCGACCAUGGACCGGCAAAACCGAGACGGUGAGUACUAACCUCCGCCUCGUGGUGGUUCCUUCCUUCGGGUUGGUUCCGCCGCGUGGUGUUGGGAGCGUAGCCGCAGUAGGUCAGCGCAGGGGUGACACGGAAUGGGAGCCGGCCGCGGAGGUGGUUUUCCGUGGUCAAGCACGCAGCCAGUCAUGUAGGCAAAUCCGCAUGGCGCGCAUGGCGAGGUGUGAUGAUGGGAGCCGUUAUGGCUCGAUAUCCGGUUGUCCAGGCCGUCGAGAAAAGCCUCGGCGUGAGGGCCAUGGCCGCCCGUACCCCAAACCGACACUGGUGGUCAGGUAGAGAAUACCAAAGCGAUCGAGCGAAUCCUGGUCAAGGAACUCGGCAAAUCACUCCCGUUCCUUCGGUUUAAGGGAGACCCCCGAUGGUGAACACACUUGCUGUGGGAGCUUUUGGGGGUGGCACAGACCAGGGGGUAGCGACUGUUUACCAAAAACACAGGUGCAUGCGAAGGCGAAAGCCGCUGUAUAUGCACUGACGCCUGCCCGGUGCCGGAAGGUUAAGAGGAGAGCUUAGCGCAAGCGAAGGUUUGAAUUUAAGCCCCAGUAAACGGCGGCCGUAACUAUAACGGUCCUAAGGUAGCGAAAUUCCUUGUCGGGUAAGUUCCGACCUGCACGAAUGG
rnacentral:rRNA from 1 species